rnacentral:hammerhead_ribozyme from 1 species
ACCCGGCCGACGAGUCCCAAAUAGGACGAAAGGCGCAUUCUGGUU